rnacentral:rRNA from 1 species
AUGACGCCAUGUGUUGCAUCAUAUCGAGCUGACCUUGGACUCGUAUCCCAGAUUGGUUCACUCCAUGCCACACCAACAACAGCCGUGUAUCAAGACAAUAAGCUGCGAUUGCGCAAGUGGAAAGGCAUUGGCGGGCAAUGGGGCGACCAGUGCAGACCUGAAGAGAUCAAGUGUGUCCGGGUGAAAUGGACUUGCAACAACAAGCACAUCCUGUGUGGCUGGGCUGGCACCUUGCGUAGCGGCAAGCCUGUCAAUGAAUUCAUUGUACGAGACUCCAACAUGUUCAUCAAGGCGCCAAAUAUCUGA